GCUUUUAAAGAGGAUUCAAGCAGGUAAUCAUGACGUGUCCGUCCUAUUUAGUACAGGUAACCAUGACAUGACCCGUUUGAGUAUAUCUUUGCUUUCCCGAACAUAGUUAAAAGUUUAGGUCGCCGCCGCCAAUGGCUCCUCUCCCGUACUCCGCCGCGCCCACCACGGAAACCGCCUCUCCGCCUGCGUCCGCCGCCAUUCCACCAACGAUGGUCGGCCGUCCGUUAGGUCGUGGUUUCGCACUUGCAUGAGCUCCUUCCGCUUUUUACGAAUCUCUUGCGGUUCCUAAGACUGCACUUAAGACGCUUGCAAGAAUGCCAAACCCUGUUUCUUCUGCAAUUGGUAUAUUCUUGGAACCAGGUUUAUGUGGAUUCUAGGUGCUGUUCUGAUAUCCAGUACGAGAGAAGAGAACCAGAUACGCAGGAUGAUGCUGACAUUCUCGAUUUGCUCAUGAGCGUAAGGUUAUUGCCUUCCUUGCAGACAUAGGAAGUAUGCCAAAAGAGUAACAUAGAUCGCUUUCAAGCUGUACCUGAAGUAUAGACUCAUAAAAUUCCAUUGCAAUGAAGUUGCAUCCAACCAUUCAUGUAAGAAGUUAAACUUUCUGAUAAAUCUAGAGAUUUGUGAGAGAAUUUUAAUAUCUCAUGGAGGGAUAAGGGCAGCAUUUGAACCUUGAGAUUGCAAAAGGACCGAGCUUUUGGUGAGCUUGCUCUAAAGCUGCUGUCUCUUGCCGAGCUGCCAGACUCCAUGGGUCGACAAAACCACCUGUGGUAUCAGAGAAACACCUCUUGGCUCCUCCAAGACUGUGUCUAUUCUUCUGGUGUUGCAUGAUUCCAUCUUGGGUGGUGAUAUACCUUGGGAUCGUUCCACCUGCACAACUGCCACGUUUCCCGUCACCAACUUCCUGACCAUUCACUAGUGACAUGCCAAGCCUCAGCUCCAAAUUGUUCAGGUAGCCACUUGCAGUUUUAUUAGCUCUGUCUUCAUGAACUUCUCUUCUCCCAUCUUUAGGAGGUGGUUCAAGUACUGUGGCCUUCAUGGUCCUUCCUCUUGCUUGGGUGAGAUGAGCUUUGUGGCUGUAAGGAAUGAUGAAAGGCAGGGUGCAAGACUGCUCUUUUUGUUGGGUGUUUGCGAGGUGAGAAAAAUGAGGUGGAAUGAUGGUGGGAGGAGGGGUUGGAUGAAAAAGGAAGGGAGCUUUGUGGGGACUCUGGUGGCUAUUGAAGUGGAGUGGUGGGAGCAAGAAUGUGAGAACUGUGAAGGGCAGGCAGGCUUUGCUUUGUGGGGCUGGAGAGAGCUACUUUAUUUUGCUUUCUGCUUCUCUACCCAUCAAAUUCCUUUAGCUAAGUGGAUAUGUUUCCCACUUUUCUACCACACUGCCGAUACAUGCAGCCUCUCUAUCACCUCACAUAACCUGUUCAAUGGGCCUUGAACAGGUACUACUUAGGUUUAUCAUUUUGUGACUAUCAUGAUGAGAUAUAUGAGGAUUGCUGCUCCAUGCAAGGUCAUUGGUACUCUAGCAUGUCAAGGAUUUUUUUUUUUUUUCUAAUAAACAUAUGGGCUUAUGUUUGGGUUGAUGCAAUAUUGUUGUUGAUUGCAGGAAAUGAUUAGCCAAAUACAACCUGGAAAAUUAUAAGCCAAGAUUUCCCAGCUGUAAGAUGGGAAACUUGGGACAUGAGUCUUCAGCUUAACACAAUACUAGAUGGGAAUGGGAAGAGUAUACAAGUGGAGUAGAGCCUCUUGCGAAGAAAUGGCCAUCAUCUCGAUGUACCCCGAAUGAACAGGAGAGAGAAGCCUUUUUGCUCCUUGUCAAGAGCAACAUGGUUAUCAUCUUGGCAUGGAGAGAAGGAAGUCAUGUUUAUCUCCCUCGGGAGACAACAAGAUGGCAGUGAAGAUACAGCAAGCUUGUUUUGGGAUAGUCGUAAUCAUCAAAGCAAAUCCACCAUGAGAAGCUUGUCCUGAGGUUGAGCUUGUUCUGUUCUUGUCACUUGAGAUUCCUGGUGGAGUUCCCUACACUUCUCUUUGUGGCUGUCUCUUUCCACCAAACCAACAACAGCUCAGUUCUUGACAAUCUAAUUGAGUGACAAAUCUUCCAUGGAUGAAUUAUUUUACCAAGUUAUGAGUUGAGAAUAAAUGGAAAUAGAAGAGUGUAAUAUAUUGAAUGUGUUGUUAAAUAGCUUUAUGUGCAAUCAAGAGGUCUGGAUUUUGAGUUCUAUUGUUGACCUCCAAAAUCAGCAUGAGGUGCAGCCCCAUUUCUCAUUCAGAUAAAACUGAGAAUUUGUAUAGCAUUAGAGGUCCUUAAAAGUUGUUACUUAAUAGUCUUUUUGUAUAUAUGUCUUAUAAUUUUAUGUGAGGUUCUAAAACUAUUUUUUUA